AGUGAACGCUGGCGGUAGGCCUAACACAUGCAAGUCGAACGGCAGCACAGGAGAGCUUGCUCUCUGGGUGGCGAGUGGCGGACGGGUGAGGAAUACAUCGGAAUCUACUCUGUCGUGGGGGAUAACGUAGGGAAACUUACGCUAAUACCGCAUACGACCCACGGGUGAAAGCAGGGGAUCUUCGGACCUUGCGCGAUUGAAUGAGCCGAUGUCGGAUUAGCUAGUUGGCGGGGUAAAGGCCCACCAAGGCGACGAUCCGUAGCUGGUCUGAGAGGAUGAUCAGCCGCACUGGAACUGAGACACGGUCCAGACUCCUACGGGAGGCAGCAGUGGGGAAUAUUGGACAAUGGGCGCAAGCCUGAUCCAGCCAUACCGCGUGGGUGAAGAAGGCCUUCGGGUUGUAAAGCCCUUUUGUUGGGAAAGAAAUCCAGCUGGCUAAUACCCGGUUGGGAUGACGGUACCCAAAGAAUAAGCACCGGCUAACUUCGUGCCAGCAGCCGCCGUAA
rnacentral:rRNA from 1 species